GAUGAACGCUGGCGGCGUGCCUAAUACAUGCAAGUCGAGCGAAUGGAUUAAGAGCUUGCUCUUAUGAAGUUAGCGGCGGACGGGUGAGUAACACGUGGGUAACCUGCCCAUAAGACUGGGAUAACUCCGGGAAACCGGGGCUAAUACCGGAUAACAUUUUGAACCGCAUGGUUCGAAAUUGAAAGGCGGCUUCGGCUGUCACUUAUGGAGGGACCCGCGUCGCAUUAGCUAGUUGGUGAGGUAACGGCUCACCAAGGCAACGAUGCGUAGCCGACCUGAGAGGGUGAUCGGCCACACUGGGACUGAGACACGGCCCAGACUCCUACGGGAGGCAGCAGUAGGGAAUCUUCCGCAAUGGACGAAAGUCUGACGGAGCAACGCCGCGUGAGUGAUGGAGGCUUUCGGGUCGUAAAACUCUGUUGUUAGGGAAGAACAAGUGCUAGUUGAAUAAGCUGGCGCCUUGACGGUACCUAACCAGAAAGCCACGGCUAACUACGUGCCAGCAGCCGCGGUAA
rnacentral:rRNA from 1 species